rnacentral:misc_RNA from 1 species
CCCACUUCAGAUCUCUAGUAAUACAUCGUGGCUUCAAUCCUUCUUUCAACCAUGCAUUUGUUGCUUGAAUAGCAUUCUGACUCCAAGAUCCAGCUAUUGACAUGCUCUCAAUGUACUUUGUCAAUUUAUCCUUUAGCAGAGGAAGCUCAAGAAACAAGUGAUUUGUAUCGCGAACGCGUGGGGUGGUUUGACAAACCUUGCACCUAGGAUCUUUUAACU